GAUGAACGCUGGCGGCGUGCCUAAUACAUGCAAGUCGAGCGAACAGAUGAGGAUCUUGCUCCUCUGACGUUAGCGGCGGACGGGUGAGUAACACGUGGAUAACCUACCUAUAAGACUGGGAUAACUUCGGGAAACCGGAUCUAAUACCGGAUAAUAUAUUGAACCGCAUGGUUCAAUAGUGAAAGACGGUUUUGCUGUCACUUAUAGAUGGUUCCGCGUCGCAUUAGCUAGUUGGUAAGGUAACGGCUUACCAAGGCAACGAUGCGUAGCUGACCUGAGAGGAUGAUCAGCCACACUGGAACUGAGACACGGUCCAGACUCCUACGGGAGGCAGCAGUAGGGAAUAUUGGACAAUGGGCGAAAGCCUGACGGAGCAACGCCGCGUGAGUGAUGAAGGUCUUCGGAUCGUAAAGCUCUGUUAUUAGGGAAGAACAAAAGUAUAAGUAACUAUGCACGUCUUGACGGUACCUAAUCAGAAAGCCCCGGCUAACUACGUG
rnacentral:rRNA from 1 species